UCUUACCGGAGGCAGCAGUGCGGAAUCGUACGGGAGGCAGCAGUGGGGAAUCCAGCACAAUGGCGAAACCAUGAUGCAGCAACGCCGCGUGAGUGAUGAAGUCCUUAGGGUAGUAAAGUCCGUCACCCCGAGGAUAAUGACAGUACAGAAGAAGAAGCACAGCUGCACG
rnacentral:rRNA from 1 species